AGAGUAAAGCAAUACAUCCCUCUCCCCCUGCACUUUGGGAUAUGCUUUUCUUCUGCAUGUUGUGAACUAUUUUCUCCUCGUGUUUCACAUCUUACCUUUUGGGGUGACCUAAGACGGAAGGGAAAGUCGAAAACUUUUUGUCGCAAGUUGGGAAGAAUUGGUCAAGGAAUUUGUGAAAGCUGGCAGUGAGGAAAGUAAGGCAAUCCUUUCCAAGGUCGAAGACAAAGUUGGGUAGCUUAAUGAAUAUAUUGAUUUCUAUUGAAAUGUUUUGUGUGGCAUGGGAAAUGGGAGUUGAUUCAAAUUUAAUCAAGUUUGUUCAGCUGGUUUGGGAAUUUAGUGUGGAAAUCGUAGUUUAAAGUUGAAGCCUUUAUGACUAGAAAGACCACCACCGUUCCUAUAAGUGCAAGUUUUACAUUUGCUUUGAUUUCAUUCAAAGUUGAUGUUAAUGUUUUUUGUGCAAUGAUUUGUUUAAUGCAGUAUGAUCUGAACUCUUUUUUUCAAUGACUGAUCUGAUUUUGUUUAUAUCUGCUUUCUGGAAUUCCAUUGUCCAAGUUUCUGUUUAUAACUCAAUGAAUCUGUUAUGGAGUCUUUAGGAAUAUGAAUCUGGUAUCAUUAUUUAAUCUGCACUGCUUAAGGAUUGGAGAUCAGUGCUCAUAGAAUCUGUAAUUUUUCAGGAGGAAUGUUGUAUUGAGAAUUCAUUCUAAACAUUUGGUCCUUUGGGUUGUCAUUUUAUUGGGAAAUUGUAGCAGAUAGAUAGUGCAGAUAAGCAUGGAAAUUUACUGAAGUUGUUGACUAUGAAAAAGACUCGGUUGAAUUGCAAUUAAGCCAUAGAAUACACUGCUGAUUUCACUGCGUGUACUUUUACAGUUUACUGUGAAAAAUCUUUCUAGAUGCUAUUUCAAGAUAUUAACCCUGUCAUUUGCUUUCAGAUUGUGGAAGCUUCUCUGAAUCAACUCAAAUUGUUCCUGAGCUAGUUUUUCAAUUUCAACUUCAUCUUCUUAUUAAUGUUUGAUUUUGUUCAAUUUAAUUAGGAUUUGGCUUUUUAUGUCUGUUUUUGGUUGGAAGAAAACAGAGAGGGUGAGAUAUUUGGAAAGGGAGACAACAGAUUUUGGAAGAGUAUUUGGCCACGUGUCUACACCCUCAGUGAUAUCAUUUGAGGUCCUAAUGCCCUCUUCACAAAGUUAGACUGGGAAACCCAAUUGAGAAAAGCUUUUGAAGCUGCAAAAGGUUUGGAGUAUCUCCAUGAACAAGUUAGUCCUCCAGAGAUUCACAGAGGGUUUAAGAGUAGCAGCAUUCUCUUGGACAAAACAUUCCAUGCCAAAGUUUCUGAUUUCGGAUUGGCCAAACUACCCUAUUUUUCAUGCUUUUGUGAAUUGUUUAUCGAUUGAAUGCUGUUUGUAAUUUGCUGAAUCUUGAAUGAAAAGGAUAUGACUUUCUUUAACAUGUAACUUGAGAUUUAGCAUAUACUGGAUGAAAAAGCCUGAGAUUUCCAUAUCAAGAAACAUUUUGGGUAUUUUUUAUAUUCCUGGAUUUAUAGAGUUUCAGCCAACGAUCAAACUAGAGCUACCUAUGAUGAUGAACAGCACUUUAGUUUAUCCUUAUGUGGUCUUAGAUUGUUCUGACGAUGUAAUAAAUUGGAAGACCAUGAGAAUCAUUGCCUGCACUAACAAGGGAAGUAAACUUCAGUUUCAGUUUUCUUAUGCAGAAGAGUUAUCUGGUUUCUAACAUGUGAUGCAUAAAAUUAAAAAUGGUAAAUACGAAUGAAAUCUUCCAUAGUUUACGUUGUACACCUUCCAUAGUUUGAACUUGAUUAAUGAAAUUCGAAGUAAAUGUGUAUGUACUUAGAACUGAGUCUGUAUUAUAUAUGACUAAUCUUUAGUGCUUUGUUAAUUAAUCGUCUUUAGAAACUCAAACUAUUUUGGAGGUAGGAACUCUUAUUUUCUCCAUUACUGUUUGACGCACUGUUCCGAUUAAUGUGUGAUAUAUGGUGGUUUAUCACUUUGAUAAAACAUCAAGUCCUUUUCAGUUAUAAUGAGGUUCUAUGGACAGUUUAUGAAGACUUGCUUUAUUUUGUGUUUAAAUUUCAAUGUGAAGAUAUAGACCCAAAUGGCAUAUUACUGCUUUACCAGAAGCUAUGACUUUUAUUGUCAAGCAUUUUCUUUGAAGGUGCAGACUUUGAUUUAAUGUUCUUACUAGGUUCUUUGAAUCUCUGAUACUUUCUGUAUUUGGAUAAGUUUGCUGUAAUGGGUUUUUGAUUAUGGUGCUUCUUCUUUCUGAAACAAAUUUCUCUGUCCUAUGUAUUACUGUCGAUUGAAUUCAAAAAGUGAUGUGUUUGAUUGCAGAGAUACUUAGGAUGACAAUACAAACUUUGAGCUGACAAAGUUUGAUAAUGAAAAUAUAAACUUUGAGCUUUUAUGGGAGUGUCGGCUACGUGUCUUAGACUUUGCUAUUUUGUAUCCUUUUGAUCAUCGAGGAAUUGUGAGAUGCAUUAGCAGUUCGUCCUCUUACAGAUCUUUGCUGACAUGAAAUUUGUGACCAUCGACUUUUGUUGUACAGCUCUUCUCUUCUGGCUUUUUGGCUGCAUCAGUAUUGGAGAAUGUGGAUUGUAUGUAUAUUAACUCUAAGGCAGUUCUUUGCGUACCUUUUUCCAUGUAUGUAAGGGAUAAAUUAUGGUUUUGGAUCAUCUACUUUUCUGAUCAGUGAUGGUGAUAGAUCCAAGUUUUGGCUCCUGUUUGAUAUUCAUAAGUCCCAUUUACAGCUCACAUUGUCAUCAACAUCACUUUCUUUGAGAUAGUUGAAUGUAUUAUAGAUUUCUGUAAAUAUGUGUACAGUACAUUGAAUUUUCAAGAGGGUCUUUCUGUCUCGGAACAAUAUGCCAAUGCAUUUACAGAUUUUUGAUGCAUACACAGAAUUUUCAAUUCUCAAAUUCACAAUCUAAUAAAGCUCCAAAUUCAUUCUUAUAUAUCGAUCUGGGAUUCCAGAUCAGUUCAAGUUGGUUCAUUGCUUUUUUCUAUUUAGGAGUUAAGAUAUAUAUCUACAAGUUUGCAUCUGUUAACUCUAAAUUUUCUUGCAGAAAAGUAGUAAUUUAGAGCCUACAAAGAAGGAAGAUAAAGUCAUAAAACAAGUGAGAGAGUGACGGCCAGGUCUGCCACCAAGGAUAAGAUUUUACUUUCUAGCUCUCCGACGACUUCUCAGCAACAGAACCCAACUCCACUUGUUACUGCCUUGAUGGCUUCAGCUGAACAAAAUGCUGCUACCUUUCACUUUCC